rnacentral:lncRNA from 1 species
CAUAGCCUCAUACAAUUAUAUCCCACAUAAAUCUAGGUUUUUGGUUGUGAAUUAAGUGUUCUGAUUUCAUGGUUUCAUAUUCAAAAUAUAUAUGCAGUGGAAAUUAAAAAAAAUUCAGAUUAAACUAUUUUAAUCUAAGCAUGCAUAAGAUCAUAUCAUAAAAUCAUACAACCUGAUCUACAUAUGUGAGAUAGGAUUCAGAUACAGAAAUCAAAUAGAGGAGAAUAAAUAGAGAAGAUCUAAUCCUCAUACUUUGACGUGGGUCGAUCUACACCGCGAACUGAUGAUCGUGGAUGUCUUCCAAAGAUCUCUUGAAGCCGUACAAGCAUCCGACUUCUACGGAUAUCCACACGAUGUCCUGAUCUGAUCAGAAGCUUCUUAAUCUCAUCGAGGUAUUAGCUUCCUUGCAGAGAUCGUAUCUUGACAGUUGAAACUCUUCUCUCUCAAGAUCCUUUUAAAAAAGAAGAAGAAAAUAGGAGGAUGAAGAUCUCUAUGCUAGAGAUCAUGAUAAGAAUAUUUUUUCUCUUUCUUCCUAAAAUUCAUGCACAAAAUCUCUACGCAAGAGAUCUAAGAAAAUAUGUCCAAUUCUUGGACAAAGGAAAGAGAAAAAUCCAUGUCCAACUCUUGGACAAAAAGAGAGAAGACACUAACAACCAACCUUUGGUUGUUGUAAAAAAGAAAGGAUGGGGAGAUACCAACAAACCUCAUGCCCAACUUCCUUUUGUCGCCCCCUCUCCUUUUCUCUAUUUUUCUCAUGCAUAAGGCUCUUUUUUCGGUGUCCAAAAUCUGAUCAUCUCAGGUUCAAAGCUGCCGCCCCACUUUUAUCCCCGAUUUAAAUAGGGUAGUUAAGGUUUUAAGAUGAGAGUCCACAUAUCUUUGGACUCUUGAACUAUGCCACCACAUCCUUCCACUUUUGUGCCCAUGUAUCUCACGAAAAAAGAGGUUGGCGUGAGUUCUUACACGUAGAAAAUAAAGGGAGAAGGGGCGCGUGGAUAAGAGCUUGGGCAUGGGUUUGUUGAGCGCAAGGAGAGGAGAGUUCCAAUCAAACUGGGGGUCUCUUUAGGUGGCUGAUUUAAACCUUAACUAAUUUUCAAUUAAUUAAAAUUUAGUUGCACCCAAUUAGAGGAGAAUUUUUAGUUCAAAUAAGAAUUUAAAACUUUUUAAUUAAAUCCUAAUUUAAUUAGGAAUUAGAUAGCACUCAAAUCCUAAUCAAAUUAGGAAUUAUUCUUUCAUGCAAUUGGGUUAUCUCAUAAUCUAAUUAGACUUGAUCAAAUCAAACCCUAGGCA